GCUGGAUCCUGGACGAAUCCAAACGCUCCCGGGAUCAGGCAACGACGCACUCAACCCGUCCAAUGUGCCAAACCGUCACGAGGACCCCGGGGUUUCUGACGCCACACGGGUGGACUGGGAAUCUCCGUCAUCGGCGUCCUCGGCCUUGGACUGUCCGUCGGUUACCGGAUCACUGUCAUCAUCCUCGUUUACGUCCUCGCUGGUGGCACCGGGGGUCGAGCUUGAGGACUCGUCCUUGUGAUCUUUCUUCCAUUUCAUCCUCCGGUUCUGGAACCAGAUUUUGAUUUGGCGUUCGGUCAGGCAGAGCACUUGUGCUAUCUCUACGCGCCUCCGACGGGUCAGGUACCGGUUGAAGUGGAAUUCUUUCUCCAUCUCCAGUGUCUGGUACCGGGAGUAGGUCUGACGUCCACGCUUUCGGUUUGGAUCUACAAGAGAAAAGGGUUUCAAUCUGCUAGGUCCAAGAAUAAAAAUACUAAAAUACUAAAACCAUGUUCUACACAAGCAUGACAUAUGUAAUAACUCUGAUAAUAUCAUGAUAUUGAUAAUGACAUAUGUAAUAACUCUGAUAAUAUCAUGAUAUUGAUAAUGACAUAUGUAAUAACUCUGAUAAUAUCAUGAUAUUGAUAAUGACAUAUGUGAUUUUGCAUUCAUGUAUUAUUUCUAUAGAAUUUAAUCAAUUAAUAAAUAAAAACAUUUUGUGCCUGUGACAUUGUUACUAAGAUGUCUUUCUCAAAAUGUUUUAGGACAGUCAAUGAUGUUUUGCCUCGUGUAGCCUAUAUACACUUCAAUAAACUUUUUUUAAAGACUUC